UACGUAGGGUGCAAGCGUUGUCCGGAAUUAUUGGGCGUAAAGAGCUCGUAGGCGGUCUGUCGCGUCUGCUGUGAAAACUCGGGGCUUAACUCCGGGCCUGCAGUGGGUACGGGCAGACUAGAGUGCGGUAGGGGAGACUGGAAUUCCUGGUGUAGCGGUGAAAUGCGCAGAUAUCAGGAGGAACACCGGUGGCGAAGGCGGGUCUCUAGUACGGUACUGACGCUGAGACGCGAAAGCGUGGGGAGCGAACAGG
rnacentral:rRNA from 1 species